AAGACCUUGCACUUUUGGAGCGGCCGAUGUCUGAUUAGCUAGUUGGUGGGGUAAUGGCCUACCAAAGCGUCGAUCAGUAGCUGGUCUGAGAGGACGGCCAGCCACACUGGGACUGAGACACGGCCCAGACUCCUACGGGAGGCAGCAGUGGGGAAUUUUGGACAAUGGGCGCAAGCCUGAUCCAGCCAUGCCGCGUGAGUGAAGAAGGCCUUCGGGUUGUAAAGCUCUUUCAGCCGGGAAGAAAAGAUUGCGAUUAAUAAUCGCAAUUUAUGACGGUACCGGAAGAAGAAGCACCGGCUAACUACGUGCCAGCAGCCGCGGUAAUACGUAGGGUGCGAGCGUUAAUCGGAAUUACUGGGCGUAAAGGGUGCGCAGGCGGUUUUGUAAGUCAGAUGUGAAAUCCCCGGGCUUAACCUGGGAACU
rnacentral:rRNA from 1 species